AGUGAAUGACCUGUUGCAGUGCUUUCAUUGAAGUGUUCUUCAUUCCCUCAGCAAUAUGAUUGUGAUGACUGAAAAAGGGAAACUCUGCCACUAUUUGUACCAUCAUCUUCACCAAAAUCUAAAAAUGCUUUUUAUGAUGUAUGGAGACAUUCUUCAUGUUUGUUUCAGUGGACACUCCUUGCAGAUGUAAAAAACUGAGAAAGCUCACUUUUGGAAAGUGACCUAAAGAGUAUCAUUGAAGUGAAUUUUAAGUAGGCACGAUGAUUGUUUUCAUGGUUGCUGUUGGAUCAUAUCUCAGGAGCUGGAAUGACAGACAUUAUUGAACAAAGAAAUCAGGAUAGUGGAACUUAAAGGGCUUCAUCUCAGUGCUUUCAUAAGUAUGAAGUGCAUAUAUUUAUAAUUUUCACUAAUCACAGGGUAAAUAUAAAAUUGAUUCAUUAAAAAUGUUUCAUAAGAAUUCAAAGGACAUAGAAUUUUGUGAAAUGUAGUAUUUUUACUUAAGUGCCUUUUCUCUACUUCUACCCCACAGCCAAUUUUUUAUAAACCAGUUGAUACAUAAGUAGUUUUGGGGGGAUGAUAUAUUACUUAUACAUUUUCUAUGUAGUAAACAUGUAUGUGUAUGUGUGUGCGUGUGUAUCUAAUUACUUUGUUGGAGUGAUUCCUACGGUUUGGAACUGCUGGGGCCAAGUUUAUGCAAAAAUCUACAUUUUUGAGUAAACACCCCAUGACUCUAGUAAGUUUCCACAGUAUUUGAGAAUUCUUUAUUUCCUAAAGCUGUACAAACAUCAGAUAAUCAAUAUUUGUAAGGAUCGAUAAUAUAAUUUAUAAUGAAAUUGCUUUCUUAGCUAUUAAUGUUAACUACAUCAUCUUCAUAUAGCCUUGUAACUCGUUUGUGCUAUUCCAUUUUCCUCUGUUCCUUUUAUUUUCACUUCCUUUGUAAUGUUAGUCUCUUUGUACUGAUUUCUGAAGAGUUCAUUUAUGAUUAAAGAUGUUAACAUUUUGUCUAGAAUUGCAAAUAUGUUUUUUCUCAUUCAUUUUACUAUGGUGUUUUAUUUUUUGGUUAUACAGAAGUUGUAUAUUGAAAUAUAAUCUUGUUCUGUUUUAUGA
rnacentral:antisense_RNA from 1 species